rnacentral:rRNA from 1 species
UACGUAGGGGGCAAGCGUUGUCCGGAUUUAUUGGGCGUAAAGAGCGUGUAGGCGGCCAUACAGGUCCGUUGUGAAAACUGGAGGCUUAACCUCCAGACGUCGAUGGAAACCGUAUGGCUAGAGUCCGGAAGAGGGGAGUGGAAUUCCUGGUGUAGCGGUGAAAUGCGCAGAUAUCAGGAAGAACACCCGUGGCGAAAGCGGCUCUCUGGAACGGUACUGACGCUGAGACGCGAAAGCGUGGGGAGCGAACAGG